GACAGGUAUGAGAUGAUGCAAGUGAUACUGACUGAGUUAGGGCAUGAUAGGAAUGAAAGAGUGGAGAAGACAGGAAAGGAAUGGAUGGUGUUGUUGCUGGGACUGUGUAGAGAGGCGAAUGAAAGGAUGAUUGAGGCGGUGAAAGAGUUUCUGGAGAGAAUGUGGCGUGCCAGGUGUAUGAACAAUUAGGAUAGAGGAUGCUGUUCGUUUCUUUUUUUUUCCCCCCCCUUCUACAGGAGUUGCCGAUCCAAAGGCCUGGCUCAGGAGUGAUCCUGUGCCACCUGUACCAUCAAGAUCAAGAUCAAGAGUCAGUCACAACAUAGGCAUCCUUGAUUGGCCGCUGGUACCUUCUCGACCUGUGCUCUCAACAUCCUAACUCACCAUGUCGUACAUGCUACAGCACCUGCACAACGGGUGGCAGGUGGACCAGGCCAUCCUGAGCGAGGAGGACAGAGUGGUGGUGAUUCGCUUUGGCCAUGACUGGGACCCAACCUGCAUGAAGAUGGACGAGGUUCUGUACAACAUUGCUGAGAAGGUGAAGAAUUUUGCCGUCAUCUACCUGGUGGACAUCACAGAGGUGCCGGACUUCAACAAGAUGUACGAGUUGUAUGACCCUUGCACCUGCAUGUUCUUCUUCAGGAACAAGCACAUCAUGAUUGAUCUGGGCACUGGUAACAACAACAAGAUCAACUGGGCUCUGGAGGACAAGCAGGAGAUGAUUGACAUAAUAGAGACAGUGUAUCGCGGUGCAAGAAAAGGACGAGGUCUGGUGGUGUCGCCCAAAGACUAUUCCACCAAGUACAGAUACUGAGCCUUCACCUGCAGCCUCACAUUUAUUGUAGGGCAAGACAGCGGGCUGGCUGGUGUCUUGACACCUGAGGGACACACAAGACCUGAGGCUUGGUGACACCCACACACCAGCUCACCCCCAUCAGCAGCGAUACGCGCCCCACUUGUUACAGCGUCAGAAUCAGUCAGUCAGUCAAUCAAUCAGUUGAGACCAUGUUCAAAUCAAGAUGGCAGGACUGCAGGAGUGAGGAUGGAGGCACUAGUAAUGACUGGAGGAGGCAUCCAGCGCACAACACCCCGGCACAGGCUGCCAGUCUUCAUAAAGAUUAGUGCAUAGUGGUACUGCAGGUACAGGCUGCCAGACUCUGCUUGGGCCAGGCAACAUCCCAUCAGUGGUUUGCACACACAUUGCAGCAGCUCAUAUCCUGACUGUUGAUUCAUGUAAGUCUUUAUUCACCUCUCAUGUAUACAUUUCAGUAGAUGAAUUUCUAAGUCAUAAGUGGUAGGAUUAUUGUUGGUAAUUUCUGUUCAUUAGAUUGGAUGGACGUCUGUGGAGCAAGGAAGAGUAGUUGUAUGUGAUAGGAAUCAUUGGAAAGCACUUGGCAUGAAAUAAUAAGAUCAUCUAAAGAACAAUGUUAUGUGGAGUUAGGUCAGAGAAUUGACAAUUCUACUCAGUGUCAUGGAGUCUGGAGCAGUAAUUUCACCACCUGAAGACACACAAACAUGGUAAUGCCUCUCAUAUGUGCUGUUUGGCUUUUGUAUUCCUAACUUGUUUCAAGAUGUGUGGCAAAUUGACUGAAUUCCUACCCAAACUUUUUUUUUUUUUUUUUUUUUCUCUCUCUCCAUAUUAUAAGGUAAGGUUCAAGUAGGAAUACUUAGUCAACCUACCAUUCUUUUUUUAAACAGGACAAGAACAUGCAGACCAGUCAACAGACAAGAGGAUAGCAUAGUGAGCAUUAGCAUGUGAAUGUGUAUUCAGGUGACAUGAUUAUUGUGCCAGAGUAGAUGAUUAUACAAGUGCCCAUUGCAAUAUACCAGAUACUCCAGGAUACAAAUGCACAUUACUCUAAGUAGAAAAUAUCGUAUAAACCAUUUUUUACAUUGCUUUAUGGUAAAGAGAAUUAUAUAAUUGUCUUGUGUUGCAAGGACAGCUUGUUUACUAAAGUUGUACUGCCAGUGCUAGUUAGCUGUUAAACACUUAUUAUCAUAAAUCAUACUCAGAAUUCUCAUCAUAAAUAUAUAAACAAAUAAAUAAAUAAAUACAGUUCAACAUCAGCCCAGUCAAGAAAUGCAGCCAACAAACAGUACUGUUACUCACUCGGAAGGGUGAGUGUGUUAGCUUGGAUGAGAGGGAAGCUGUUUCCCUCCUUUCUGCCUCAAAGAUCUGUGGUGUUCAGAUGUAUAGUAGCUUUUCUAAGAUCCACCAAGUCACUAUUGAACAAAGAAUAUAUUCACAGUAGUUUACUGAAGAUGUUCAAGUGACAUUACAAUAUUGCUGGCUGUAUUUCUUCCUUCAUUUAACAGAAUUUGCUUAAUCAUUCAUUAUGAUUUGCAAUAGUAAUUAAGACAAGCUAGUUGGCAUCAGCCACCACAGCUCCAUGACAAACAAGGCGUCCAUGCAACACAGUACAAACCCAUAACUCUAAACACCAUAGAACAUUUUCUAUUUAACAUAGCAGUAUCCUGGAGUAUCCAACACAGUUCCUUAGAUCUUUAAUAGUCAGUGCCACUUGGCAUAGUCAUGUUGAUUCGUGUGUUGCCAACCUGCUUGCCUAUUAUUUUGCUACUGUAUUCACCACAGAAGAGCUUUGUGGGUAAAAUCAUUACUUCCUGCCAACACUGCAGUGUUCACCCAAUGUUCAAAAGUGGUCAGUUUUAAUUACUCUUGCCUGGAGAAAUGUGUUCUUUCUAGUGCCUCCAUCCACAACCCCUUCACAGCAGUGAGUUAUGCAGCCACACACCACCUCCACAGCAGAGAGUAAUUAAUGCACACACUUCCCCCUCCACAGCUGAGAGUUAUGCACACACAUUUGCAUGUGCAGAUUUCCCAUUGAUGUCUGAGACAUGCUCAAGUGAGACUAAAAGAGUGAUUAUUUACUGGAGGAAAUCCAGUUACAAUACACGGCAAAGUCUCCAAGUUUAAGGCUUCUUUAGACCACGAGAUGCCCCACCACAAACACUGACAUCCUGGAGAAGCACAAUUCUGUGCAACCUUCCUUUAGCUGUCUUGUUGUGAUGGUGAGAUUAUCCACCAAUUGUCAGCUUACAUGAACAAAAAAGUCCAAUCACUUAUCUUGGAACAUGAAACCCAAGAAGCCUUAAACUUUGGGACUAGGUGGGAUAUUUUAAUUCAUUAUACACCAGUGUGCUUAGUACUGGGCCUUAAUUUGUAGCAUUCAAUCACACCUUAAUUGUGCAUGUUUCAGGCAACACAGGAAAUCUGCACAUGAAAAUGUGUGUGUAUAACUAACACUUACAGAAGGGGUAAGGGAGGAGGCACUUCAUGUGAACACACUUCUCCAGGCAAAAAUAAUUGAAACUGCUUUGUCAUUCACAGCAAUGGGUGUUCUAAAACACUAGUUGCACUAUAUAGUAGUGAUUUUUCCUGUUGGAAACUAGGAAAUUAUUAUUUAAUGGCAAACUAAUAUCAGUGUGAUCAAUGUCCAAUGCUACUAACUGUCAUAUACCCAUGAAAAUGAGGACCCAUAUACUAUAAAAAUUUUAUUAAAUAUAUAUAGAUUAAGUUUUUAUUCAUACUUUUUUUCAAAGCCAGCCUGGGAUAACUUAUCAAGCUAAUAAUGGCACCUAGCUGCAGUAGUAGGCAAUAAGGAUCAAGAUUUGAUGGGAUUUUUGUUAGGUAUGAUCAACAAAAUAUAUAUGUAGGUAACAAUCAAAAGUAACAUCUUUUAAAGAAUUAAAUAAUUUUAUAAUUGCAAUAAUUCUAUAAUUCUGAUAGAGAGAGUUUUCUUGAACUCUUGUUUCAGUAGCACUGAAGGAUUGCAGCAAAACAUGCACAGUGCACAGGCACAAACCCCAAUAUAUGGGAAUGAGCAAUAAGCUGGAAAAUGUGUAGCUGUGGAAUUGCAUUCCUCUUAUUGCCUCUCCAGGCCCUUCUUAUGUCUCAAUGAGCAAUUCCUGGUGCAAAGUCAUCCAUCUUCUCUUCCAUUUUGGCAUCUAGUAUACUUCGAUGCCCUGCACUAUAUGCACACCUGAAUGUAGUACACAAUCUGCAGUACAUCAUGGAUGAAUGACUGCAGAACCGUGAUGUUCAAGUAAUUUUCCCAUUCUGUUGUUUCACCAUCUGCCUGAAAAAUCAGUAUAGAUUAUGAUGUGGUUGUAUCUAGAAAAUAUCAAGCUAAAAUAAUUUUAAAAGCAGAGCAUAUAGUAGGAUGUUGAGUGAGAUGGAUGCUGUAGAUGAGAUAGGCUGCCUGAGUAUUUUGAGAAAUUGUCAGCCUAGCAAAGUGUAAAAGAUGGGUAAAGUUGAAUGAAAGUGUUGAAGAGUAGGCUGCCUGAGUAUUUUGAGAAAUUGUCAGCCAAGCAAAGUGUAAAAGAUGGGUAAAGUUGAAUGAAAGUGUUGAAGAGUAAAGAGAAAGCAAUGAACUUGCUGGCUUGGAUGAGUAGGAAAAUAUUUAAAGGAAAUAAGUAAUUGGCUGAGUGGUUUGUAAGAUUGCUCCUAUAUGGUAUGUACAGUAAAACCUCCCUAAAUUGAACCCAAAUAAGCUGAAUAUCGGAUAACCUGAACGUCCUUAUCAGCCUUCUUAGCCAGUCUGCCCACUCCACUCCAUCCCCAAUCACACCAGAGCCACCAGCUAACAUCUUUGACUCGAACUCUGAGUGAUAAGCAAAAGUACACUAGUAGUACAGUGCUUUAUGUUAUGUUAGCUCUUAUGUGAUCUUGUGUGUUGUGUACAGUUAAGUGAGCUCUUAAGUAAACACUAAGUGUGUAGUUGCAUAAUGUAAGUGAACUCUUAAAUUGAAUUAAAGUGACCAGAUAGUGAGUUGUGUACCGUGUAUAAUAACAAAAUAUGCUGUAAAUAUCCAUCUUGAGGCUUAUAAUAAUAAUUUUUUUAUUUCCCAUCAAAAGAAGAUAGGACACUAUAAACAUAUUUAACAAAAGAACAUAAUACCUUGUCAUUCAUAAAAUUAAUUAGAGACUAAAAAACAGUUUAAAGAUUACAUCGUUAUAAAAUUUAGAGUAUCAAAAGAAAGGAGUUAAUUAUAAGUAUACAAGGGAAAUCUUACUAGCUAAACAAUUUCAAAAUUAUACAUAGAUUAAAACAUGAAUUUUAAAAUUUUAUAAGUUAUUAAAAACAUGAAUUUUAAAAUUAUAUAAAUCAGUUAUUUUUAAAUUACACUUUAAAAUUAUAUAAAUAAGUUAUUUUUAAAUUACACAUCAUGAGACUAAAAUGGAGCAAGUAUCAAAUUUAAAACAUAAUUGUCAAAUGAAUUUUCACUUGCCAGAAGGGCACGGACACUGUUAGAUAACCCAUCAUUAUCAAAUCUUUGAUGUUUUAUUUCAUAUUCGGCCUUCUUUGCAUAGCUAGAGUCAAACAGGUAUUUCAUAAAGUUUACAUUGUACUUUGAACAGAUGUCCCUCGCUCUUUCGAGUAAGCCUGUUGUUGAAUUGAAUUCUUUCACUCAAAACUUUAUUAUAGCAGUAUAUAUAAAAUCAUCUUGCUCUUUAUUAUAGCAGUAUAUAUAAAAUCAUCUUGCUCUUAAGUUAUUAUGAAAAAUCUGGCCUAAUAGGUCAAUAUUCAUUGCAUCCACCAUAGGGUAUCCUUAAGGCUUUCAAUAAGGGUUUAUUUCUACAGUAUUUAUGUAGUCUGAACAUAGCCUUUACAAGCUUUCCUUGCAUGAACUCAUUCAUACGUCUUUUAUCUAUCUUAACAGUAUUCAAUCCAUAUGUCAUUACAGGCCUAAUUGCAGUUUUCCAGACAUAAGGAGCUGUGUUAACAUUAGUUUCCAAGUUGCACAACCCUGCUCAUUGUAAGGCGUAAAAUGCUUUUCUGCAGGCACUACUGCAUUCAUUCACAUGAGCAUGAGGUUUUCCGUGGGAAAGAUUCACUCCCAGGUAUUUCUACACAUCACAUCCUUUCAAAAUAUCUAUUUAGGUGCCAUACAGGACGCUCCGUAAAACAAAAUUCCCCGAAUAUGAUACAUUCAGUCUUGCUGGGAUUAAAAGACAAGCCAUGAUUACAUUCAGUCUUGCUGGGAUUAAAAGACAAGCCAUGAUUACUUACAUACUUAUUAGAAACCUCACUCAUUUGUUGCAGACCUGUGACAGUUAGACUACAUAAAAAAAUAUCAUCUGCAUAACUAAAAACGUUAAAAGACUUGGAACCAAUAACAACUCCACCAUUAUACGCAGAUAAGGUAUCCACAAGAUCUUUGUAAAAUAGGUUAAAUAAAAAAGGAGAUGUUAGCCCACCUUGGCAAGUACCUCUAGAGACUUGGAUAUCAGCAGAUAAAUAUGUUCCCCACUUAACUUGCAUUGUAAUUGAUGUGUACCACGUAAGCAAAGUAGCCCAGCAAUCCUUAGGAAUCGCUCCCAUUGCCUUGUAUAAAAUGACAUCAUGAGGUAUAGCAUCAAAUGCUCCCUGGGCAUCUAAAGAACAUGCAUAUACCAGUGAGCCUCGGGAUUUACAAUAUGAGGAGCAUCUAAAGAACAUGCAUAUAAAAGUGAGCCUCGGGAUUUACAAUACGAGAUAACAUCUUGCGCUAGCACAGCAACCAUAUUUGUACUUGGUCUUAUAAUGUGUACUAACAAAUAUGCUGUAAAUAAGAGUAAACAUACAUGUGUUUAUGUACAUAGAAACCAGCCAAAAAUGUGUACCAAACUUUUGGAUAAACCGUCAACCACCUCGCUCCAUAUAGUUUGAUUUAUGGAGAUUUUACUGUACAUGUAAAUUAACAGAAUGGUACAGUGUGAGAGUGUGAUAUGGCUCCCAUAUAUAGAAAAAAAUUAAUGCUCUUGCUUUAAAUGCAAGUUAGAGAGAGUGAUUGGCUCAUUAGCUAGAAUACAGAGGCAGGAAUAAUGUAAGCUGUGGGGUUUACAAAGUGGGAACAAGAUGUUUGCUGUUUAACAAGUGUAAGAAGUAGGUACUUUACAAAAGACUAAUAUGUUUUGGAUGUUAAUAGAUUUAAAGAAUGCAUGUGGUAGGAGUAAUGGGAAGGGUUCACAAUUUUGAGUGGGUGAAAGGGAUACAGUGGUGAAUAACUGGUUUGUAAACAUACUGAGGGGGCAACAUCCUGUGGAUCUGUGGUGAGAGAAUGAAUGAAUUAGCUUACUUGUUUAGUUUUACUUGUGAUUUUUAUUGUAUCCAGUAUCCAUUGUGGAUACAAGUAUAAAAGCAAGUUAGUGUUAAUUUAGAAACAUCCCUACUCAGAUUUUCUCCAGCUGUACUGUUGUUGACUGCAAUCACUGUCACCAGUAGAAAACAAGAAUAAUUACACAAAACUAUGUGAAAAUUCAAGAAAGUGCAUGCACAUCAUAGAAGCUGUGAAAGAUGAGAAGAAUAUUUAUCAUUGAAGCUAUGACAGAUGGGAAGAAUAUUUAUCACAUUUGAAUGUUUUGUUAAUAAUCCUGUGUUUUAUUUAAUUAACUGUUAAUUUAACUAAACAACUUAUUUUAGUCCAUGAGGCUUGAAAGACACUGGAGAUUUUGUGAUUAAUUAUUAUAACACAAAUAGUUGGCCACAUAACCCUGGAAGGUCUAGCUUACAACUCCAGCAAGUUUUUGUAACCAAGGGAGCCAGUAAAGUGAGGUGCACACACAAACACAAAUUCAGCAUUUCCUUGCAUCCUAACAAGAGCUAUAAACACUAAGAAUGAAGUCCCAAAUAAUAGAUCUACCAGGAUGGAGUUUCUCUUGAAGAUGAGGAGACAUGACUGUCAAUAUGACAAAGUAAAAGCAGAUCACCAGUCAAGUUUUGCAAAAUACUUUUAAAGAUAAACCCUGCAACAGUCUGCCUUGCAACUACUGUUGUUGUACAUCAGUUAAAGAAAGGACAAUGGUUUAUUCUUGGUGAGUAGACAAGGGGAAUAACAAUUGAAGCACUUCCUGCAGAAGUGAGGCAGGUGAUAGAUCAAAAUGGAGUUACUCCUUACUUCAACUUGUAUUGUAUGUCUAGAUCAUUUGCAUAAAGAAACUGUAUAAGAAGCAAGCCAAAAAUAUUUACAAUUUUACUUGCCCAUGUGUAGCCGCCGUGUACGCACAACUUACACGACGGCUAGAGAUACAUUGUAAUGCGACAUUUUAUGUUUUCUUUGUUAGCAGUAUAUUAUUUGUAGUGACUGGUUGUUAUACAUGAGUAGUGUCAUGAGUAGUGUAUGGAGUGUAGGGUGCGCCUGCGUGCCAGCACAGCCGAGUGAGAGGGGAACGUAGGGCCGAGGGGACGCGUUGAACUUGCCCUCUCAGCUCUUUCUCUCAUUGACGGGUCGGUUGUUGUGGCAUGGGCGCUGAUAACAUACCUGCAGCAUAAUGAACAUCAUAUGCUGUAGGGGCCCAGCAGCGUCUCCAAAGCCACUUACUUCACGGCAGUCAUGCCUACACGUUAGACGUGUCUCGGGAGGCACAGAGUAAAUCCCCGUGUUCCUCAUCCCGGUAAAUCUCCAAGUGUAAUCCCUUGCAUACAACCAAGAGGACGCCUGUUCCCCACAUUGUGUAUGUAUUCAUAGUAUUAGGAUACUUAUGUAACCAUGAGGAUUUGAUGAUGUUUCAAUAUAAUUAAUGUGACUACUUAUAUUUAGAUACUUAAAUUGUGAGGAAUUAAUGUGACUACUUAUAGUGAUUAGAUACUUAAAUUGUGAGGAUUUAGAGAUGUGUGUUAAUAUAAGUACACUUAACGUAACAUAAUGACGUACAUCAGAUCACGCAGAUGAGAGGGGUGACUUGCUGUGUUUGUGCUGGUGGUGUUCAUCUGUAGAACCGACUGUACCCACUAAAGUGUAGGUAACUCUGUAUUGAUUUAUAUAUUGUAUGGAAUUGACGACGUGAAGUGUCACAACAAUGAUGUACUGC